GAUGAACGCUGGCGGCGUGCUUAACACAUGCAAGUCGAACGGAAAGGCCCAAGCUUUCUUGGGUUCUCGAGUGGCGAACGGGGGAGUAACACGUGUGGGAUCUGCCCUUCACUUUGUGAUAAGCCUUGGAAACUGGGUCUAUUACCGGAUAGGAUCAUCUUAUCGUGUCGGUGGUGGAAAGUUUUUCGGUGUGGGAUGAGCUCGCGGCCUAUCAGCUAGUUGGUAAGGUAAUGGCUUACCAAGGCGACGACGCGUAGCCGACCUGAGAGGGGGAGCGGCCACACCGGAACGGAGACACGGUCCAGACUCCGACGGGAGGCAGCAGUAGGGAAUCUUGCGCAAUGGGCGAAAGCCUGACGGAGCAACGCCGCGUGAGUGAUGAAGGUCUUCGGAUCGUAAAACUCUGUUAUGAGGGAAGAACAUAUGUGUAAGUAACUGUGCACAUCGUGACGGUACCUAAUCAGAAAGCCACGGCUAACUACGUG
rnacentral:rRNA from 1 species